rnacentral:rRNA from 1 species
AUUGAACGCUGGCGGCAUGCCUUACACAUGCAAGUCGAACGGUAACGGGCCUUCGGGUGCCGACGAGUGGCGAACGGGUGAGUAAUACAUCGGAACGUGCCCGAUCGUGGGGGAUAACGAGGCGAAAGCUUUGCUAAUACCGCAUACGAUCUAAGGAUGAAAGCAGGGGACCGCAAGGCCUUGCGCGGACGGAGCGGCCGAUGGCAGAUUAGGUAGUUGGUGGGAUAAAAGCUUACCAAGCCGACGAUCUGUAGCUGGUCUGAGAGGAUGAUCAGCCACACUGGGACUGAGAACCGGCCCAGACUCCUACGGGAGGCAGGAGGGGGGAAUUUUGGAAAAGGGGCGCAAGCCUGAUCCAGCCAUGCCGCGUGCAGGAGGAAGGCCUUCGGGUUGUAAACUGCUUUUGUAGGGAACGAAAAGCCUUCUUUUAAAACAGGGGGGUCAUGACGGGACCGUAAGAAUAAGCACCGGCUAACUACGG